UACGUAGGGUCCAAGCGCUAAUCGGAAUUACUGGGCGUAAAGCGUGCGCAGGCGGUUUUGUAAGCCAGAUGUGAAAUCCCCGGGCUUAACCUGGGAAUGGCAUUUGGGACUGCAAGGCUCGAGUGCGGCAGAGGAGACUGGAAUUCCUGGUGUAGCAGUGAAAUGCGUAGAUAUCAGGAGGAACACCGAUGGCGAAGGCAGGUCUCUGGGCUGACACUGACGCUCAUGCACGAAAGCGUGGGGAGCAAACAGG
rnacentral:rRNA from 1 species